GCUCCCGUGGCGCAAUGGUAGCGCGCAAGACUUCUAUAUGGAUUUCCGGGCUGUGAAAGUGCGAAAAUAUAUGUAAUCUUGAGGCUGCGGGUUCGAGCCCCGCCGGGAGCU
rnacentral:tRNA from 1 species